rnacentral:lncRNA from 1 species
UUUUUUUGCGCCUGCACAUAAAUCUGAGAAACGUGAGUUUUGUCUUCAUUGUUUAUCUAGACAUAGGAUAGGUUGUGUGAAAAUAUUACUGAUGUUUAACGUUAAAAAUGGACCAAAAGAUUAAUGCUAAACAACAUUUGACAUGUUUGAACGAACAUAAAUAGAUUAUUUACUAGUUUUUUUUUAGCUUUUCGGCGUGAAUUACACUCCCCCCACCACGUUUUGUGGGAGCAUAAUGAACGCUAAGUACUUGGUGUUAUUUGGACAUAAAUUAUGAACUUUGUCAAAAGAAACCACAUUUGUUCCGGACCUGGGAUGCCUUCCGGACCUGGGAUGCCUGCCUUCUGAUGGAGAUAAUCAAAGAUGGUGUAAGGGCUGUCUUCAGGAAUGGACCAAAAUGCAGCGGAUAUAUACGAGAUCUGUUACAGAACUUCCCACCAACAAUGGACCAAGCAGCGGGGUAAGGAGCUGGAGAAAGGCUAUCGGGAGUCGUGGACCUGGG